rnacentral:rRNA from 1 species
GACGAACGCUGGCGGCGUGCUUAACACAUGCAAGUCGAACGGAAAGGCCCUGCUUUUUUGCGGUGCCCGAUUGGCGAACGGGUGAGUAACACGUGAGUAACCUGCCCUUGACUUUGGGAUAACUUCACGAAACUGGGGCUAAUACCGGAUAGGAUCUCCUGCUGCAUGGUGGGGGUUGGAAAGUUUCGGCGGUUGGGGAUGGACUCGCGGCUUAUCAGCUUGUUGGUGGGGGAGUGGCUUGCCAAGGCUUUGACGGGUAGCCGGCAUGAGAGGGUGACCGGCCACAUUGGGACUGAGAUACGGCCCAGACUCCUACGGGAGGCAGCAGUGGGGAAUAUUGCACAAUGGGCGGAAGCCUGAGGCAGCAACGCCGCGGGCGGGAUGACGGCCUUCGGGGUGUAAACCGCUUUCGCCUGUGACGAAGCGGGAGUGACGGUAAUGGGUAAAGAAGCACCGGCUAACUACGUG